ensembl:ncRNA H35N03.2 ncRNA
UACUUUUUUCAGUGGUUUUGUGACAUGACAUUGCCUUCCGGGGAGGCGCUGGCUCCCCCAUUCAAAUAUGACAUCUGUCUCCAGAAUCUUAUUCUUUUAUCUUUCUUUCUCACUCCAUUUUUUUAUUUGCCACUUUAGAAAACG